rnacentral:rRNA from 1 species
UGGGGAAUAUUGGGCAAUGGGGGAAACCCUGACCCAGCAACGCCGCGUGAAGGAAGAAGGCCUUCGGGUUGUAAACUUCUUUUACCAGGGACGAAGGACGUGACGGUACCUGGAGAAAAAGCAACGGCUAACUACGUGCCAGCAGCCGCGGUAAUACGUAGGUUGCGAGCGUUGUCCGGAUUUACUGGGUGUAAAGGGCGUGUAGGCGGAGAAGCAAGUUGGGAGUGAAAUCUAUGGGCUCAACCCAUAAACUGCUCUCAAAAACUGUUUCCCUUGAGUAUCGGAGAGGCAAGCGGAAUUCCUAGUGUAGCGGUGAAAUGCGUAGAUAUUAGGAGGAACACCAGUGGCGAAGGCGGCUUGCUGGACGACAACUGACGCUGAGGCGCGAAAGCGUGGGGAGCAAACAGGAUUAGAUACC